rnacentral:rRNA from 1 species
UACGUAGGGCGCAAGCGUUAUCCGGAAUUAUUGGGCGUAAAGAGCUUGUAGGCGGUUUGUCGCGUCUGCCGUGAAAUUUCGAGGCUCAACCUCGAACUUGCGGUGGGUACGGGCAGACUAGAGUGUGGUAGGGGAGACUGGAAUUCCUGGUGUAGCGGUGAAAUGCGCAGAUAUCGGGAGGAACACCAGUGGCGAAGGCGACUAUCUGGGCCGCAACUGACGCUGAGGCGCGAAGGCUAGGGUAGCAAACAGG